rnacentral:tRNA from 1 species
GUUUUAAUAAUUUAUAAUAAAAUAUUAAUUUUGUAAAUUAAAUUAAAGUCUAAAUACUUUUAAAACU